AUUAUAGGAGAUCAAGUGAGUGCCAUAAUCCAGAUACAGUCAGUGGACACUCAUGAGGGCAGAAAUCCUUAGCAUGGCUGCUGUGUUGUUGGUUCCAGUUCAGAGUCAGGCAACAAACCAAGGAUCCACAAGGUGCGCCACACAACGAGAAGCUCUGCUGUGACGCAGCACUGAAAGACCUGCCCAGGAGCACAGGAGAGGCCUGGCUGCUUUCCAGUGCUCUGGGCCAAUCUGCCCUUCUUUCUUUAUGUCCUCUCUGUUUGGCACAUGCUUGAUUCACACUGCUUUGUAACCCACAGCCUGCUUGUGAUAGUUCCUGUUCUACUGUUUAAUGUCUUCCUCAUUGCUAAGGUGGUCAAAGCAUCUCUUCCCUGAUUCACUCAUAUUCAUGCAGUCACACAAAGGAUGGGAAAGAGCUUUGGGAAAUUUGAGUUCAACAGACUGGGGAACUGACUUCUUUCCAUUUACUGAGUUCCAGCAGCAGAAUUGUCUUCCAAGCCCCAACCUCCUAACUCUAUCCUAGCCCUUAGAAAAGACUGUAUCUGGACAAAAGCACAUCCAGUCCCAAGGACAGAGGAUGGCAUUACAGUCUCAUUUCUUCUCUUUGCUAUGUGCCAUGAUCAUCUAGCCCCCUGGGAGAGCGGCUCCCCACUGCAUCAAAGGGGAGGGGCAUACAUACAUCAUAAGGGGCAUUCUGUGAUGCGAUAACCGGGGGGGGGGUGUAGGAGAUAAAAGUGGGCGUAGUCUUAGGCAUGUGUCCAGUUACUCAUUUUGACUCUCUUUGGCCAGAUGAGUAACUAGAAGCAUUUUCGCAGAAAAUGACAAAAAAGCUACCUCUGAUUCUCCCGCGUCACCCCCAGCCUCACAGUCCUGCUCCUUCAGAUUCCCGUUUUCCAACCUGCCUGCCUCACCUGGCUCCUCCCUCUGGCAAACCUAAGCCUGUCCUCCAGCACAAGAAAUCUUCAGCUGCCUGCCCUGCCCGUCUCCCUGCUCUGACCAGCAUCUCUUCUCACAAGGACAUUCCUACCUCCAAGACCUCCCAGACCUCCAAGCGCACCCUGGCCUCUGUUCCCUCCAAGUCACCCACUCACCGCCCUGUUCGUCUGGCUCCCCUUUCCUGCUUCUCCUCUGUCUGGGCCCCGACUCCUCCUCCCAGCCCCUCUUACUAGUCCUCAGGUCUCUGUUCUUCACUGUCACCCACCGCAGCCCAGACCUGCAGAUUCUCAGCUCUUAGCUUCGAGAUCUUACCUUCUUGAUGGGCCAGGACAGUUUGGAAACAAUCCAGACAAGAGAGGCACUUCACAUCCUCUCUGUCUAUAAGAAGCCUUCAAUCAGCUUCCACACCUGCAAGUGCCUUCCCUUGGGAACACAACCUGGAAGCUCAGAGCUGACAGCAGGACUAGUGGCCCCUAAGUUCACAGGAAUGCCUGAAGGCUCCAAGUCACGAGAUGAUACAUGGAGGAACGUGCAGGUGGUGAGUCCUGGGGUCCUCAGUCUCACUGGGAGACUGCACAGAGGAUGACACGGGCUUCACAGAGGACUGGGAAGCCUCUAAGGUCUGACACAUGCUGUGGAACUCUUCCCUGGCACUGCUCAGGCAGCUUCAGUACCAGGAGAGUUCCUGAGA